rnacentral:lncRNA from 1 species
GGACUUUACGGUGAGCUACACUUCCUUGUUGCGAUCUGCAACAUAUAGAGUCUCUAUCAGAGUUAUUUAUAUUCUUCGUCUAACUUGUAUUUUAGACGGAGGUUGUAUUAUUAUUGUACUCCUUAAUAGAUGCUCAUACACUUAUGACAUCGGGUUUUGAAGGUUCCUACUGGAUGUUUAGUAUGGUAAUUCUCGUAGUUAUUAUCAUUUCACCCAGUAAAUUCUAUUCAUACUGUUAAAUUAAUGAAAAUUAUGAUUUCAAAAGUAAUAAAAUGAGUAACUAAGCUGAUUAAAUAAUCGUUUACUUGCCUGAUGGCGGUGUUAGGCGCCAUCACGACCUAUAGUGAAUUUUGGGUCGUGACAUUUUCGAUCAACUCUGACAGCUGAGCUCUUAGCCAAGUUCAAAGACAAACAUGGCAUCUCUAAUCAAUUAGAGCUCGUACCUGUGGGCGAGGAUGCAGUGGAUACCCAUCGCCUAGGAUAUUGCGCUCUUUACGCCAAUCAUUUCUCUGUUGGUUAUUCUCUUCCUUUCCCACCUCUUGUGGAGAAGUUUUGUCGUCACUAUCGGGUCUGCCCGGACCACCUCCCCCCUAUGUAUAUAAGAUGACCAAAAUGUUGUCGAAGAUUGCCGAGUUGGAUGGCGUCCAGGUCUCAGUGUGACAUCUAAUUCAUCUGUUCGCACCCCAUUUUUACCGUGGCAUGAUGAUGAAUCUACGGCACCAUGGGGGAAAGUGUUUGGUGGUAAAAAUGGACGAUAAAAGUAGUCGACAAUUUUGGCUCGACUUUUCUUUGCCAAGAUCGGGGCCAUUGUGGCCAAUGUCGCAAGUUCCCCCGAGGCGGAAUCACAACGGUAACUAUUCAUAUUUGUCACUUUUAGUUGUUGUCCAUUUCGAGUUUCCAUAAAAACCUUCUCCAUUUUUAGCUACUAAUCGACCUCUUAAGCUGGUGGCGAACCUUGUUGACUAGGUCAGGCAAGUCGUAUCUUGUACUAUAGGGAUACGAGACUGACCAAGUUUUUGGAAAAAAUUCAAACCGGCCAUUCUCUAAAUAGAUAUUUGCAUUCUUUUGGUCGGCAUCGUACUCGUAUUGGUUUACGUCAUCGUGCUUCUUCUAGGUUCCAUUAUGGGGCUUCAAGAAAGAACAGGGCGCAUAUGCCCACGUUCAAGAGGAGAAGGGUUGCUACGCCUUCCGCCUCUACCCUCGUCUUAACUUUUGCACCCGCUCCUCCAUGAGGUCCCUUAGUUAGAAGAGACCAAUACGGACGUGCUUUCGCGUCCCGAGGAGAAGAAGGUUGCGGAGGGGACAUUUGGUGAUAGCUAUGUGCCUUGUGAGGAGGCCUCUUCCUCUAGGCCGACUAGGGAUGUUGUUCCUACUGAGUGGGCUAAAGGCAAGGGUUCCAUCGAAGAGGAUGAUGAAUCAAGUUCUAACAUGGACCACAAUGAUCUUAAGAUGAUCGAUAAAGGGACUACUCAUAUUGAGGUAAAGAUGGAGGGGGGUUCGAGAACUAUUACGAUUCCAAAGGAUUGUGAUCUGCUGAAAAACACCGAGGAUGUGGUCAACGCUCUCGGUCCUCUCUACUUCGAAGCUGAGUGUGUGACGCUCAAAGACCUGAUAGAUGGAACCAUGCCGAAGAGCACUGUCGGCCUCACCCUUAAGGUAAGUAUAGUUUUUCCUCGUUCUUUUUUCUUUGAUUUGACUUAUUUCAAGGCUCUAACUUUUGUUUUUCCUUAAUUUAUAGACUAUUAUUAUGGACAUUGAAAGUGCUUUGAGGGAGAAAAAAUGGAAAGAGAUUUACCAAUGACUGAAGGGCAAGUACUAGGAGUUCUGUGGAAAGUACCGGGAUGCCCAGAGUUGGCUUCGCGAGGAAGGAGAUGUGUCGACCAUGAGGUAGGAGUUGAAGAAGAAAGAUGAGGCACUGAUGGUUGCCGUAGAGAGGUUCAGCAUUCUCGAGGGAGCGUUGAAGAGAAAAUAAGAGGAGCUCGAGUUGAGAAAGGGCAUAGAGGCCCAAUGCAGCGACCUCUAGUGUCAGGUGGUUCAACUUAUAAGUCAGUUGGACGGGUUCCAAUUUCAAAUGGAAUCUCUUGAGAUGGGGGGGAGGUCGCUGGGAAGCAGCAGAAGUUUGAGUAGGCGGAGUCCUUCCUACUGGAUGCUCGAAGGAAGGUUGACAUUCUCGAGUUGGCAAACAAGACUCUCCAUUCUGAACGAAAUAACAUUCAAUCAGCAGUGGAAGCUAAGGAGGCCAUUCUCGAGGAGAGGAUUGGGGAGUUAGGUAAGGAGAACUUCGAGCUGCUCGAGGAAGAUGAUGAAGAAGUUGUAGAUCAUCUUGCGGAUACUGCUUGGUAUGACUCCGCUUAUGGUCGAGGCGAGGAUGGAGAAGGUGUCAGAGACUAGGGUGGCGAUGGCAACUAGAUAUUCUUCCUUUUUUUGUUUAACUUCUUGUACUUUUUGUUGAUGUCUUCAAGUGCCCUUGUAAACACUUUUUAUCUAAAUAUCAAAGUUGGUUUUUGUUUUAUAUGCACCUUUUAUCUUUGUGUGUUUUGCUUUUGUACUUCCUUUCUUCAUUUUUAUCCUCUAGAUUGCGAUAGCCGUGGGCUCGAGUAGUCGUGGGCCGUAUUGGCCUUUGUUCGAAUUGAUUGAAUGUGCCUCUUAGUUGAGAUGCGGCCAAGGGUCGAUAGGUGUUUUUUUUAUCCGAUCGAACAUACCUUUAAGUUAAGUCAUGGACGAGGGAUGAUAGGUGUUGUUUGAGUUAGUCGAAUGUACCUUUAAGUUAGGUCAAGGCCAGGGGAUGAUAGGUGUUGUUCAAGCUGGUCGAACGUACCUUUGGUUAAGUCGUGGCCGAGGGCCAAUAGGUGUUGUUCAAACUGGUCAAAUGUACCUUUGGUUAAGUCAUGACCAAGGGCCGAUGGUGUUGUUUGAGUUGGUCAAACGUACCUUUGAUUAAGUUGUGGCUGAGGGCUGAUAGGUGUUGUUUGAGCUGGUCAAACAUACCUUUGAUUUAGUCGUGGCUGAGGGCCGAUAGGUGUUGUUCAAGCUGGUCAAACGUACCUUUGAUUUUGUCCUGGUCGAGGGCUGAUAGGUGUUGUUCAAUCUGGUCGAACGUACCUUUGAUUUAAGUCAAGGUCGAGGGUCAAUAGGUAAUGUUCGAACUUGUCGAAUGUACCUUUGAUUUAAGUCGAGGCCGAGGGCCGAUAGGUAAUGUUCAAAUUGGUCAAAGAUAUAUUUUGGAGAGCAAUUUUGAAUAGACGUGCAUAUUACUUAUUUUAACAUCGUUGUUUUGAUUACAUCAUUUCGCCCUUAGGCAACUUUUGGAGAAAAUUACAAGUUUCGGGUAUCGGCUGGUGUUCCAGUCCCGGUAUAUCUAAUCUCUUCAUUGUUCGACUUAGAGAUUCUUGAGGAUCAAACAAUGAAAAACAUGUCUGCUCUCAUGUACUCCAGCUUAAAGUGUCCCACUCGUCGCCUCGUUAAAAACCUCCUUGAGAAAACCCUAUUGGGACAAAACUCAAGUGAGGGGGAAAAAAGCACGACUUACGGGGCAUUUCCUAUUUUUCAGAAGUUAAAGUACUUGAGAUGGCUGAUAUCCAAUUGUUUUGUAGGAGCUUCCUUUCCAUAGUUUCCAAUUAGAACGAACCCUUGUAUUCUUUGCCUAUAAUUUUAUAUAGUCUGUCCCAGUUGGUUCUCAACUUGCCUUCUCGUGGGUACCUAUUUUCUAGGGUUUUGACUUUGAGCACGUAGUCCCCGAUCUUAAGUAGUCAAACCUUUGCCUUUUUGUUGUAGUAGCAUUUUGCUUGUUGUUUCUGUGCGACCAUCCUUAUGUAUACCAUUGUCUCGCCGCUCUUUGACCUCAUCGAGUCUUGUCUCCUAUUUUCAUCAUUGUCGGUACUACUUUUAUGGGAGUCUCAUGUUGGGUUCUCUAACUUCUACUGAUAUAACCGCUUCUGUUCUAAAGACUAGAGAAUAAGGCGUUUCUCCUGUACUCACCUUCGGGGUUGUUCUGUGUGCCCACAAUACUUAUGGGAGUACUUCUAGCCAUAGUCCAUUAGCCUUCUCGAGCUUUUUCUUCAUGGUGUAUAAGAUAGAGUUGUUGGAGGCUUCUGCCUAUUCAGAACCAGUCGGGUGGUAAGGAGUUGAAAGUAUCCUUUUAAUAUUCCAUAUCUCGAAGAACUCAGUGGUUUUCCUCCUCGUGAACUGGGGCCAUUGUCACAACUCAUCUCUUUAGGCAAGCCGAAUCGGCAAAUGAAAUUUUUCCAUAUGAAGAUGAUUACCUCUUGCUCACAAACUUGGGAGAAUGCCCCUGCUUCUACCCACUUACAAAAAUAGUCAGUUAAAACUAAAAGGGAUUUUAUGUUACCUCAUCCUAGCGGAAGAGGUCCUACGAUAUUCAUUCCCUACUUAAUAAAUGUCCAUGGAGAGGUAACAGAGUGGAGGUGUUCGCCUGCUUGGUGGACUAUUGGGGCGUAUCUUUGACGUUGCUCCCAUUCUUCAUAAUAUUUGAGGCGUCUUUCUUCAUGGUGAGCCAAUAAUACCCAGCCCAUAUGAGGCACCUGACGAGUGCUCGGUCACUGGAAUGAGCUACGUAAUGACCUUCGUGGACUUCCUCGAGAAAGCAUUGGGUUUGGUUUGGGCCUAAGAAUUUUUCCAAGGGGCCGUCGUACGUUCUUUUAUACAAGUCAUUGUGAAGGAGGAUAUAUCUAGCAGCUUGAAUUAUUAGCUUUUUAGAUUCCUUUUUAUCGCUUGGGAGGGCGCCGUCCUGCAAAUAAUUAAUAAUAUAAUUGCGCGAGUCCUAAAUUAAGUUUACAGAUCUUACCUCGAUGUGGUCUAAUGCCGAGCUGAGAAGAUGAACUACACUCUUGUCCCCGUCGUUAUGCUUUUGGUGGCAUCAACCAAUUUGGCGAGACCCUUUGAUUUGAUGUUCUGAGUUCGUGGGAUUUGGCGAGUUGUCAUACGUCGAAAUUGGGAAGUAACCUGUAGAUCUCAAUCUGAUACUUCUCCAACCUCGGCUCUUUGAUUUGGAAAUGUCCUAGUAACUUGGUUGACUACAAGCUAAGAAUCACAAUGGAGCUUCAAUCGCUUCGCCCUAUACUUGAGCACUAGUCUCAAUCAUGCAAUUACGACCUCAUACUUGGCCUCGUUGUUAGUCAUAUCUGGGAACCUUAUGGAUUGAAGAAUUAUUUUUCCGGUGGGAACCUCGAGCAUGAGUCCCAGUUUGGACCCGCACGCAUUGGAUGCGCCAACGAUGUAUAGGACCCAAAGGUCAUGUGUUUGUAGAAAGCUUUAGUGGCUUCUUUUUUAGCCUCAGGCAUUACAUUUGCACUAAAGUCUGCAGCAAAGUCGGCGAGCGCUUGCGACUUUAUUGUUGUGCCAGGAUGAUUAGUGAUGUCGACUCUCUUAAUUCAAUGGCCCACUUGGCCAACCACCCUGAUAGCUCGGGUUUGUGUUAUAUGCUUUUUCAAGGGGAAGUGGUGACGAUCGAGAUCGGGUGGCACUGAAAAUAGGGUCUAAGCUUUCGUGAAGCUAUGACCAAUUUCUUCGGUGUAUACAAGUGUUUUACUGAUAUAAUAAAUUGGAGAUUGCGUACCUUUGUCUUCUCGAACCAAGUCCACAUUUACCACUACUUUCAAGACAACAAGGUACACGUGGAGGCGCUCCCUAGGCUUGGGCUUUGAGAGAGGAAGGGUAGUGAUGACAGGUACUCCUUCAUUUCUUGCAAUGCUUGUACACACUCGGCGUUUAUUUGAGGUCGUUAUCCUUUUUAGCACACUAAAAAACCUAUGACACCUAUCAGACGACCGCGAGAUAAAUCUAGACAUAGCGGCAGUUCGACCGAUCAAUCUUUGGACUUGCUUCUUAGUGGUCAAUUGUUCUGGUAUCCCGUCGAUAGACCUCAUUUGAUCUGGGCUAACCUCAAUCCCUUGCUGUGAUACCAAGAAGCCCAAACAUUUCCCCGAGGCUAUGCCAAACGUGCAUUUUUCAUAUAGAGAAUUAUUUGCAAAUGAAGAGAUGUCAAAGGGGCUUCUUACUUCCCAAAAACUCGGGGUUUAAUUUCAUUUCGUACUUUCUUUGUCUGUCGAAGGCUUCUUUCAGGUGGUCGAUGUGAUCUUCCGCCCUUACGGACUUGACCAAUAUGUCAUCAAUAUAUACCUCCAUGGUUUUGCCGAGUUGAUCUUUGAACAUUUUCUGACCAACCUUUGAUAGGUAGCCCCUGCAUUCAUCAACCAGAAAGACAUAACCCUAUAGCAAUACGUUCCCUGUGGGUGAUGAACGUAGUCUUCUCCUGGUCUUCUUCCUCCAUGAGUAUUUGGUUGUAACUUGAGUAGGCAUCCAGAAAACUUAACAGCUCGUGUCCUACUAUUGCAUCGAUGAGUUAGUCGAUGUGUGGCAACGGAAAUGAAUCCUUCGGGCAUGCUUUGGUCAGGUUUCUGAAGUCCACACACAUCCUCAAUUUCCCAUUUUUCUCAUCACCACAUUAGCAAUCUAUUUGGGGUACUUCGACUCCCUGAUAGAGCCGUUGGCCAAUAACUUUUCUACUUCUUCAUGGACAGAAUCAUUGAUUGUGGGGUUGAACUUUAGUCGGACAUAUCUUACUGGGGGUAAAAGGGGUUGACGUUCAUCAUGUGUAUUGAAAUUUCAUAGGGAUGCCUGGCAUAUCUGCAUGGAUAAAGGCAAAUAAAUCUGUGUCAGCUAUUAAUAAUUGAUUAAAUGUACCUGGGCCUUAGAGUUUGCAGCUGAUAUAAGCCUUUUGUUGAGGUUACUAUGAUCUAGCUGGACGGGUUUGAUAUCUUCUAUGGUUGAUCCUGCGGCUUCGACCAUCUUUGGAUCCAUAAUGACUUCUUUGGCUUCGAACUAUGACGACCUCGACCAUGCUGAUUACUAUGCUUCUUUUUCCUUAUCUUUCUUUUGUUGAGUUGUCGUGUCGUCCAUGGCGAUUCGGUAGCAUUAAUGGGACGUACAUUGUUCCCCUCAUAUUCUAAAUAUUCCCUAAGGUGUCGGGAACUUGAUCACUUGGUAUAAGUUGGAGGGGGUGGCUCUCAUAGGGUGCACCCAUGAUCAUCCCAUGAUGGCAUUGUAUGCAGUUUCCUGGUCCAUGAUAUGGAACGUUGUCUCUAGAGUCACCCUACCGAUGAGAACUAGGAGUGUAAUCUCUCCCUAAGUCCGCUCAACUGCAUUAUUAAAAUCAGUUAGUGUAAUGCAGCGCAACACUAUCUUAACCUCAAGUCUCAUCUAUGCGAGGGCUCGGGGGUGGAUGAUGCACGCCUUACUUCUAUCAUCUACCAUAAUUCUCUUAACAUCAAUAUCUAAAAUUCAUAAAGUAAUGAAAACUGCAUCAUUGUGGGGGAAAGUCAAACUGUCGGCAUCUAACUCAUCGAAGAUGAUACUUUCUUCGAGUCUGUCAUACCAAUUGUGGGUGAUCAAUCUUUUGAGCUUGUGGGUGGUAGUGAAUUUGAUGUUGUUCAAUUGAAGUGUCGUCACUGCUACUAAUAAUCAUAUUGAUGGUGUGAGAUGGUGAAUGCUGUUUUGGUGUGCUUGAACGUUCUCGACCCAUCACCAAAGUGUUCAGCCUUUGUCACUGAGUAGUUCCUUGAAAUGCCCUUGCUACAUCAAAUUUGCUACCUCUAGUCUUAGAGCGAUGCAAUCUUCUGUUUUGUGUCUACGUUCUUAGUGGAACUCGCAGAGGGCGUCAGAUUUUCUAGUGCUUGGGUCGGACCUCAUCUUUGGUGGCCAUUUUACCUUUGUUCUGAGCUUCUCAAGAGAGUAAACCACCUCCGUAGGUGACACACAAAAGUUGUGAGCAGAUAGUAAGGGGGCAUACCUCUCCCAUUCUUGUGAGUGCCUUAUCUUGGCCUAGAUGGGUUGUCUUCGUAAUGGAAGGAGGGGACAGGCGUUCUAACAUAGGUUGGUGUAAUUCCAUGCCUGGCCACAAUAAUGGAUGGUCUCUCCUUAGAUUACCCCUGAAUUCUUUCCUGGGCUCGAAUUGUACCGAGGUGAGUUGUCGAGUUGGUCCAUUAAGGUCGUCGUCAUCUUCUUGGACCUCGACACAGUAGGCAUUAUGAAUUUCGUCCCAAGUGGCCGUUGGGUAUUUCAUUAACCGACUCAGUAAUUUUCUAGUCACCCUCGAACCCUCUCUGCUCCAUUCAAAAAAGCUGCCACAUCCAUCCCUUUAUAGACAUUUGGCAAGGUCAUCAUUACCUUGUUGAAUCUGGUAGGAAGCCUCUCAAUCCCUCUCUUGGGAUUGUUUGAUGGCGAAGAUAUCGUUCACCCUUGUUUCAUCUUUAUUGUCCCCGGCAUGCAUCGUUAUGAACUUAUCGUCCAUCUCUUCAAAUGUUUCUAUGGAAUAAGCUGGCAGUUGUGAGUACCACGUCAAAGCCCCUCUAGUGAGAGUUUCACCAAACCUUUUCAGCAAGAUGAAGGAUACCUGCUCUUUGGUAAGGUUGUUGCCUUUCACGGCGGUGACAUAGUGGGUUAUAUGAUCUUCAAGAUCAGUCAUCCCAUCGUAAAUUUUGAGAUAUGGGGGCAUCUUAAAGGUCUUUGGUAUGGUGUGUGGAGCCGCUUCUUCCCCAUACUGUUGUUCCACAAAUAUGUCGGUGUCUCAUUUUGGUAACAAUUUGGGAGCACCUGGUAUUUUGUCUACCCAUUCCUGGUGCUCGUUCAUUUGGCCCCUAAGCACCCUAUCUCGUUUAUUAUUUCUUCCACUCUUUUCAGUACGAUGGCGAGGACAUGCCUCCUGCACUAUCAAUAAUAGUGUGAGUUUUACCUGAAGUCGGAGGGUUUGGUUAGUCGUCUUGUUCGUUCCUCUAUUGUGCUGCAUGAACUCUUGUAGUUCCUGUGGUCGUGCAUGGGGCUUGCUUACUAUUGGGUAGCCAUGCUUCAAGAAGCUUUUUCAUAGAGGGUGGCGCCCACUCUCCUGUGAAUGUGGAGGCCCUUUCCCGUUUGAUUUUAUUGUAUUGUAGAAAGGUGCAUGCAACCUCUCUCGUCUGGGAGAGGCCGUGGGUGUUACCUCCUCAUCAUUGGUGCCAUAGCCUUCGUUGAUGGCACUCAUGAGGUUGAGGGGAAUAUUGUUUUCUGCCUUCGUGUUGCUUCCUUGGUUACCUGCCAUGGAUAUUUUUGUUCGCGCAGAGAAAAAUGAUAAGCUUUGUGGUUCGUUAAAUUAACAAGUCACGCAAGUUAUGGAUCUAAUGGAAACUAAAAAGUUGGCUGAGAAUAUCCCCACAUACGGCACCAAACUGUAUGAUCCAAAAUUUAGACCUAGGCUUAUACAAUCGAAUUUUAUAAUAAAAUUGGGUUAAUCUUAGCCAAUAUUAAUAUCCAAAAGAUAGACCAAAUAUUUUUGUAGUAAGAUCUCACGUGUGCUUUUGAGCAACAACAUAUAACGACAAUCAUGGUGUAAUCAAUGAUCCAAGAAUAUGGAAGAAAGAAAGAAAUAGUAAUAAAUAAUAAUAAAUGACAUGUAAGUAAAUAAAUAGAUGUAGGUCACCCGAAAAGGGUAAGAUUCCCUAAUAUUUCUUCUGACAAGGAUUGAUAAUGAUAACUCUUUGAAUAUUUGGGUCCUCCUUGGAUCAUGUGAGAAAGGAUAGAUAAAAAUAUAGGGAAAAGUUGGACUUUAUAUGUGUAUGAUAAAGUAAUAAUCUUCAGAGAAUGUCAAUGUAUUGUAUUUUACAAUGAAUAUCUAAUCCCCUCUAUAACUAUAUAUCUUUCUAUUUAUAAAGGUAUAUGAGCCACAAAACCCUAAAUAGUACAAGUGGGAGGAAUAUUCACUGCAGUAUUCUCUAAGGGGCCAUAUUCCUAAAACUAGUUGUUACUGUUUUAAUAAAAUGAGUACUCGUUCUCAUCUCCGUCCUCAGUUGAGCCACCUCGACCUCGUCGACGACAUGUUCUUUUCUCAUAAUAUCGACCUUUUGAAAUUAAAUUAUUACAUCUUGUUAACGACACGUGGUAGCCUUCGAAGGCUUUCUUAAUAUUGACUAGGUCCACAUAUAAUUAUGGUAAUUUUAGCCCAUACACAUGUAUUGUCAUGGGUUUUAAUAUAUUUAUUUAUUUAAGGUGUAAAUUGUGAGAAUAAAAUGAUAAAAAAAUUACUAUCGGGUAGCCAUGCUUUAAGAAGCUUUUUCAUAGCGGGUGGCGCCCACUCUCCUGUGGACGUGGAGGCCCCUUUCCCAUUUGGUUUUAUUGUGCUGCAGAAAGGUGCAAGCGACCUCUCUCGUCUGGGAGAGGUCAUGGGUGUUACCUCCUCAUCAUGGGUGUCAUAGCCUUCGUUGAUGGCACUCAUGAGGUUGAGGGAAAUAUUGUUUUUUGCCUUCGCGUUGUUUCCUUGGUUACCUGCCAUGGAUAUUUUUGUUUCACAGAGAAAAAAGAUAAGUUUUGUGGUUCGUUAGAUUAACAAGGAUCGAUUUCCCUCACCAGUGGCAUCCUCAGUUAGAGCUCAUAGCGCUGGACUUGCCUAGUGCGAUUUACAGCUCAUGUGUGAUUUGCAAGCUAUUGCACAGUGAGUAGGAUACUCAGGGCGCACCCGAGAGAUAGCGGAUGUGGAUUUUCCUGAAAAUUUUUCAAAAUAAAAUAAAAUUAAUAAAGAUAGAAAUUUCAAGAGUAGCAAUACUUAGGACCCGUUUAGCCAUAGAUUUUGCCAAAAUAAACUUGGAUUUUAUUUGGCAAACACAUGUUUGGCCAUAGAUUUUACCUAUAUUUUGGCAAAAUCCCAAAUCUCAAAUUCCAAAACCAGCUCAUUAGUUGGUUUUGGGCCAAAAUCUUUACAAACACUAAUAAUAUACAUGUUUUUCCAAAAUAAAUUUGAAAAAUACAUUUUGAAAACGUAUGUCCAAACACAUUUUUCAUUUUCAAACCAAACUUCAUUCAAAUCAGAUUUUUCAAAAUAAAUUUGAGAAUCUAUAACCAAACGCUAGCUUAUUUUUAUUCGGUAAUAAUUAAACAUGGUUUAUCUAUGAACUAAAAAUUUGAAAAUUGAGCCGAAUUAAAUGAAUUGAACUCAAUUCACUAGCGGUAAAUUUACACUAAAAGUAGUGGCACCUAUAAUUUUCAAAUCCCGGUUCUAAGAGUCCCGGAGAUAAUUAAUGGUUAAUGACCGAAUUUGAACUUUUAACCACUAGAUUCACUAAACACCUACUUUCUUACACCUAUUUUCUUACAAUGUAGGGUGGCGAUUAUGCAUUAAAAAAAGGAGGAUAGGUUGGCUAGAAAAUUUUUAUUUCGUAUCUAUAAUUGAUAUUAGUUGUAUGAGGCAAUUUUUUUGUCUCAUAAUUUUAUGGGUCCAGAUUUUUGUGGACCCAGAAGUGUAAGAUUGGGUUCCACAAAUUUGUAAGACAAAAGACACAAAAUAAAAUUUCUCCGUUGGCUACGAUGAUAUGAAAUAUGAAGGAGAGGGGCGGCUGGUUUAUUAUUGUUUCUGAUUUUGCAGGAAGGAGAAGUGAUAGGUGAGCUGCAGUUGAAGAUUUUGUUUCACUUAAGAGUGAUGUAAUAUUUGUGUCCGUUGAUCUUGGCUUGAUGGACGGUGGAAAUUUAGUCAAAAGGUUCAUGUGAAAUAAAAUAACUCCUUGAUGUAUUUGUUGACAGCUUAGGAUAUUUGAAUAUUGCUUAGGAUAAUUUCUUAAAAAAUAAAAAAUUCAUAAUUAUAAUUAACCAAAUUAAAAAUACAAAAGGGAAAAUAUAUCUGUGAAUAUUUUUAAGAAAAUUAGCCAAAAUAUGGAAAUGAAUUAGCUUAACUUUUCGUUAGGGCUUGUUUGGAAAGCCAUCUUGUAAUUUCAUUUGAGUGUAAUUGGGUAUAAUUGUAUAAUUUAGCAUGCUUGUUUGGAAGAUGUGGAGGUCGAGUAUUAGGGUUGUAGGUUAGGAGGUAGUCGAGUCUUGCCCUUACUUCGUACCUUUGUGAGACUAGUCUGAUAGGGUUUUUGUCUAAGAUAGAUAGUGGCAAUGUUGUGUCUUACUAUUUCAGUUUUCAGUGCAGGACCUAUUUUACUAGCUAUCGCUUUUGCUUUGCAUCUUUCUUCUGGAUUUCAUGUUCCUAUUUUUCCUAAGAUUUCCGUGGUGAUACUGAUAUUGUCUCCUUUUGUCUUUUUGUUUCCUUGAGCCAAGGGUCUUUCGGAAACAGCCUCUCUACUCCUUUGGGGUAGGGGUGAGGUCUGCGUAUACACUACUCUCCCCAGACCCCACUAGUGGAAUUUUACUGGGUUGUUAUUGUUGUUGUUGUUGCUUGUUUGGCAAAGUAAUUACUUAAUCGGUAUGAAAUUAGAUGUAAUUAUGGGGGAAUAUUCAAUUCUCGAAAUUCAUACUUGCACUAAUGCACUAGAUCUUAUCAAAACUCCAAAGCAAAGUAUGAUUUAGUUAGAGUGGUACUGGGAUAAGUGAUCCUCUGAAAAGUCCUCGUGUUGUAUCCCAUAUUUUAUGGAAACUCUUUUUAUUUUUGUUUAUUUGAAUUUCAUAUUUAUUGAUUAAUGGUAAAUUAUUUUGUUUUAAUCGUUUGAUUCGUAGUUCUCCCGAAAAGAGAUAAGCGUAUAAUCUACAGUGGUAGGAAUGACGGAUACGGUCAUACCAGAGAGCUAACACACCGAAUCCAUCAGAACGUCAAAGUCAACCAUGCUUGAGCAAGAAUAGUACUUGGAAGGGUGACCUUUUGGGAGUCUUCGUGUUGCAUCCUCCAUUUACCGAAAUUCUAUUUGUUUUUUUAAUUUAAAUUUCUUAUUUAUUUACUAAUGGUAGAAUAUAUUAUUUUGAUAGUUUUCGAAGUUAUACUAAAAAAAGAUAAGUUAAUAGAAUUUUAAUUUUAAGAAUGACGGAUGCGAUCAUACCAGCAUUAAUGCAUCGGAUCCCGUCAGAACUCCAAAGUAAAGUGUGCUUUGAUUAGAACGGUACUAGGAUGGGUGACCCCCUCCCUCCCCCACCCCCCACCCCCUCGAAAAGUACUCAUGUUAUAUCCCUCAUUUUGCUGACUCUUCUUAUUUUUGUUUAUUAAGUUUCAUAUUUAUUUAUUAACAGUAAAUUAUUUUAUUUUGGUCGUUUUGAUUUGUGGUUAUACUGAAAAGAGAUAAGUAUUAGAACACUAGGAUGAUUAAUGUGAUCAUAUGAGCACUAAUACACCGGAUCUUGUCAGAAAUCCAAAGUAAAGCGUGCUUUGACUAGAGUCGUACUAGGAUGCUUUACUCUCAAGAAAGUCCUCGUGUUGUAUUCCUCCUUUUACCGUAACUCUUUUUAUUUUUAUUUAUUUAAAUUUUUUAUUUAUUUAUUAACAGUAGAUUAUUUUGUUUUGAUUAUUCAAAUUUAUAGUUCUGCCAAAAAGAGAUAAAUUUAAAGAAUUUAGAACGCUAGAAAUCACUGAUGCAAUCAUACCAGCACUAACGCACUAGAUCGCGUCAGAAUUCCAAAGUAAAGCGUGUUUCAGUUAGAGUGGUACUAGGAUCAAGGAUGGAUGACCCCCUGAAAAGUCCUCGUGUAACAUCUCUUUUUGCCAAAACUUUGUUUGCUUUUGUUAUUUGAAUUUCUUAAUUUUUUUUAUUAACAGUAGCUUAUUUUCUUUUGAUUGUUUCGAUUCGUAGUUUUGCCGCAAAGAGAUAAGCUUAAAGAAAUUAGAAUGCUAGGAAUCACGAGUUUGACCAUACUAGUACUAACACACUAGAUAAAUCAAAACUCCAUAGUAAAACGUGCUUCGGUUAGUGUGGUACUAGGAUGGGUUAUCCCUGGUAAGUCCUGGUGUUGCAUCGUUCCUUUUGCCGAAACUAUUGUUGUUUUUAUUUAUUUAAAUUUUAUAUUUAUUUAUUAACGAUAAAUUAAUUUUGUUUUGAUUGUUGUGAUUCGUAUUUCUGCCAAAAAGAGACAAAGUUUAAAGACUUUAGAAUGCAACGAAUGAUGAUGCCACCGUACCAGCACUAACACAAUAGAUCCUGUCAGAACUCAAAAGUAAAGCGUGCUUCGGUUAUUGUGGUACUAGGAAAACUUCUCAUGUUGCAUCUCAACUUUUGUUGAAACUCUCUUUUGUUGUUUACUGAAAUUUCUUAUUUAUUUAUAAUGGUAGAUUAUUUAUUUUGAUCGUUUUGAUUCGUAGUUCUACCGAAAAAGAGAUAAGUUAACAGAAUUUCGAAUUCUAGACGGCGGUGACACCGGCAGAGGUGGCUGAGCAGCUGAUGAAGGAAGAAUGGAAGAUGAAGUUGAUGUUUCACUUAAUGGCUUGAUUGAAUUUCUUAACAGCAAGAUUAAAGAUCAAGAAAAGGUUGAAAGGUUAUGGAUCCACCUUUUUUUUCCUUCUAUUUUCUAUGAUAAUUUCAUAGAAGUCUAGCAUGCUUGUUAAAGAAAGUAUAUAUUUCUGUCCUGGAUAAGAUUUAAUCAAAG